GUUGUCAGCUCGUGUCGUGAGAUGUUGGGUUAAGUCCCGCAACGAGCGCAACCCCUAUCUUUAGUUGCCAUCAUUGAGUUGGGCACUCUAAAGAGACUGCCGGUGUCAAACCGGAGGAAGGUGGGGAUGACGUCAAAUCAUCAUGCCCCUUAUGACCUGGGCUACACACGUGCUACAAUGGUUGGUACAACGAGUUGCGAGUCGGUGACGGCGAGCUAAUCUCUUAAAGCCAAUCUCAGUUCGGAUUGUAGGCUGCAACUCGCCUACAUGAAGUCGGAAUCGCUAGUAAUCGCGGAUCAGCACGCCGCGGUGAAUACGUUCCCGGGCCUU
rnacentral:rRNA from 1 species